UACGGGGGGAGCUAGCGUUUUUCGGAAUUACUGGGCGUAAAGGGCGCGUAGGCGGUUAGUAAAGUUGAAAGUGAAAGCCUUGGGCUUAACCCAAGAACUGCUUUCAAAACUCACUAACUAGAGAGCGAUAGAGGACAGUAGAAUUCCUAGUGUAGAGGUGAAAUUCUUAGAUAUUAGGAAGAAUACCAGAGGCGAAGGCGACUGUCUGGGUCGUUUCUGACGCUGAGGCGCGAAAGCGUGGGGAGCAAACAGG
rnacentral:rRNA from 1 species